UACGUAGGGGGCAAGCGUUGUCCGGAAUUAUUGGGCGUAAAGCGCGUGUAGGCUGUCCGAUAAGUCUGCCGUGAAAGUCCAGGGCUCAACCCUGGAAGGCCGGUGGAAACUGUCGGGCUGGAGUCCGGAAGAGGCCAGUGGAAUUCCCGGUGUAGCGGUGAAAUGCGCAGAUAUCGGGAGGAACACCAAUAGCGAAGGCAGCUGGCUGGGACGGUACUGACGCUGAGACGCGAAAGCGUGGGGAGCAAACAGG
rnacentral:rRNA from 1 species